rnacentral:rRNA from 1 species
AGGACGAACGCUGGCGGCGCGCCUAAAACAUGCAAGUCGAACGAGAAGCCCGGGCUUGCCCGGGUGGACAGUGGCGAACGGGUGAGUAACACGUGAGGAACCUGCCCCGAAGACCGGGACAACACCGGGAAACCGGUGCUAAUACCGGAUACCUUCACCGGAUCGCAUGGUCUGGUGAAGAAAUGGAUUCCGCUUCGGGAUGGCCUCGCGGCCUAUCAGCUUGUUGGUGAGGUAACGGCUCACCAAGGCAACGACGGGUAGCUGGUCUGAGAGGAUGUCCAGCCACACUGGGACUGAGACACGGCCCAGACUCCUACGGGAGGCAGCAGUUAGGAAUCUUGCGCAAUGGACGAAAGUCUGACGCAGCGACGCCGCGUGCGGGAUGAAGGCCUUCGGGUUGUAAACCGCUUUCAGCAGGGACGAAAUUGACGGUACCUGCAGAAGAAGCCCCGGCCAACUACGCGCCAGCAGCCGC